AGAGUUUGAUUCUGGCGUCAGGAUGAACGCUGGCGGCGUGCCUAACACAUGCAAGUCGAACGAGGGUGCUUGCACCCUAGUGGCGAACGGGUGAGUAACACGUAGGUAACCUGCCCUUAAGGCUUGGGAUACCCAGAGGAAACUUUGGCUAAUACCGGAUAACAAUGGAAGAGGCAUCUCUUCUAUUUUAAAAGGCCCGUUUGGGUCACUUAAGGAUGGACCUGCGGCGCAUUAGCUAGUUGGUGAGAUAACAGCCCACCAAGGCAAGGAUGCGUAGCCGACCUGAGAGGGUGAUCGGCCACAUUGGAACUGAGACACGGUCCAAACUCCUACGGGAGGCAGCAGUGAGGAGUUUUCGGCAAUGGGGGAAACCCUGACCGAGCAACGCCGCGUGAAAAUGAUGACGGCCCUAUGGGUUGUAAAGUUCUUUUAUUAGGGACGAACGACUAGCUUAGGAAAUGAAGCUAGUUUGACGGUACCUUUUGAAUAAGCCACGGCUAACUACGUGCCAGCCGCUGC
rnacentral:rRNA from 1 species